rnacentral:tRNA from 1 species
GCCUUGGUGGUGAAAUAGGUAGACACAGGGGACUUAAAAUCCCCCGGACAUUGCGUCCGUGCCGGUUCAAUUCCGGCCUGAGGCACCA